rnacentral:rRNA from 1 species
AUUGAACGCUAGCGGGAUGCCUUACACAUGCAAGUCGAACGGCAGCACGGACUUCGGUCUGGUGGCGAGUGGCGAACGGGUGAGUAAUGUAUCGGAACGUGCCCAGUAGCGGGGGAUAACUACGCGAAAGCGUAGCUAAUACCGCAUACGCCCUACGGGGGAAAGCAGGGGAUCGCAAGACCUUGCACUAUUGGAGCGGCCGAUAUCGGAUUAGCUAGUUGGUGGGGUAACGGCUCACCAAGGCGACGAUCCGUAGCUGGUUUGAGAGGACGACCAGCCACACUGGGACUGAGACACGGCCCAGACUCCUACGGGAGGCAGCAGUGGGGAAUUUUGGGCAAUGGGGGAAACCCUGAUCCAGCCAUCCCGCGUGUGCGAUGAAGGCCUUCGGGUUGUAAAGCACUUUUGGCAGGAAAGAAACGUCGCGGGUUAAUACCUCGCGAAACUGACGGUACCUGCAGAAUAAGCACCGGCUAACUACGUG